rnacentral:lncRNA from 1 species
AGCUGAUAAAACAACAUUUCACCAAACCACGGUCAAAAGGUUGUGUGGAUCGUCAAAUGGCGACUUCAUCUUGAUGAAGGAAAAGAAGUGUGCGGAUAAGAAGUGUGCACAUUAGUUUUCACUUGAUGUUAUUGGGUAAUGUUCUCUGACCUCUUUUUGUAGUUUUCUUCUGGACCUCUCUGCCUUCUAUGUUGACAAUUACCUGCUUCCUCUUGGUCAUCUCAAGUCUUUUCUUUAGGUUUACCAUCUCUUUGGUCCUCUCCAGAAGCUUCUCUUCUGUGUAGCGCAACUUUGACCUCCAAUUUUGAUAGUGUUUUCUUUCUUCUGUUACUCUUUUUGGGUGACUCUUUUGGGGUAGAUGUCUUCAUUGGUCCUGGUGUCUGUAGAUAUGUUUCUUCUUUUAGGAGUUGAGUUGAUGGCAGGGGCAUUUACCUGCUGAGGUGAGAAUGGCUGUUCUCUUGGGGAGGCUGUGUCUUCUAGAAUUUGAAUUACUUAAUUUUGCUUCUUGAAUGUGUUGAAAUGUAUCAUCUUGCUCGCUUGAUGGUGUUAUGUCCAGUACAGCUUUUAGCUGUUUCUUUUUUCUAUAAUACCUUUUGAGUUUCACUUUUCUUCUUUUCAUGUUGCUGCUUUGUCAGAUCUUGUUUUAUUGAUUUUACAAUUUUGCUUUCAUUUUUGAUAUCUGGAAAGGAAGCAUGAAAUGAGCAUGUCUGAAAACAUGGGGAAGAUCUUACUGUUAUGGACAUAUCAUCCUAUAGUAAAGACUGAAUGGCUUACAGACUGUGUGCAUCCUACAGUAGGGAGUUAAUGGCUUACAGAUUGUGUGUACACACAUCCUAUAGAAGGGACUGAAUGGCUUACUGACUGGAAUCCUAUAGUACAAACUAAAUGGGUUACUGAUUGUGUGUGGUGGACAUGUGUGCUCGCAUAUGUAGACUUCCUAACACUGUAGGGUAUUGACUUCCUAUAGACACUGUAUGAGGGCGUAGGCUUCCUAUUGAUUAUACAGUUGAAGUCGGAAGUUUACAUACACCUUAGCCAAAUGCAUUUAAACUCUGUUUUUCACAAUAUCUGACAUUUUAAUCAGAGUAAAAAGUCCCUGUCUUAG